UUAGCAACCCCAGAGAAGCCCUCUAUUACCUUACAAAAGGAAUUUAUCAGUGGACCUUGAGUUUCUCAAAAGGUUGAUUACCCAGGUGGGAUUAAUCUCAUCACACCAGCCCUUUAAAACCCGGGAGUUUGGCCUGUGGCAGAAGAGGGAAUCAAGAGAUUUCAAAAGGACCCAGUAUAGUGUGGCUGGUUUUGAAAAUGGGGCCACGUGAGCAGGAAUGUGGGGGGAUGGGGGGUCUCUAGGAGCAGAUGAGCCGUCCUGUUGACAGCCAGCAAGGACGUCGACCUUUCAGGCAAACCCCACGAGGAACUGAAUCCUGCCAACAACCAAAACAAGCUGGAGAGCAGUCUGCCCGGGGUCCUCCACUCAAAAGCUGACACCCCCGAUUUCGGCCUCGCCUGCACCAAAGCAGGGAACCCAGCCCCGCCAUGCCUGGAUUUCUGACCUGCAGAAUUGGGAGCUAAUACGUGCGUGGUUACUGCUUCAAAGUUUGUGGGAACGUGUCAUGCCAAGGGAGAAGCCAAUUCACUCGUUCCAGCUGGAGAAGGAGCUGUGGAGUCCUGACGCUCACAACCAGGCUCCCCCAAAAGCCCUGGAAACACUGAGAAGAGCGUGAGGAGGAGGUGGGAAGUCUGCUGCGGAAAAGGCCAGGCAGACAGAGCGGCUAGGGCGACAGAGCGGCCAGGGCGACGCCGCGGCAGGUGUUCAGGGAGCAUGCGCAGUCCUGCCACUGCCCCGCCCAGGUUCAGCGCAUCCCAGAACUCACGGUGGCACGUGCUGGGAGAUGACGCUCACGAACGCCUGAUCUGCAGGAGAAGAGGAAGGGAGGAUACAGACACUACAGAGGGAAGACCACCUGAAGACAUACAGAGAAGGUGGCCACCUGCAAGCCAAGGAGAGAGGCCUCAGAAGAAAUCAACCCUGCCGACACCUCAAUCUUGGACUUCCAGCCUCCAGAACUCAUGGCAUGUGGGAUCCAGGGACCGAACCUGCAUUCCCUACAUCAGAAGCAUGGGAUCCCAACCAUGGGACCACUAAAGAAGUCCCUAUAUUCACUUUUUAAUCCUUUUUUCUUUCAUCUAACUGGAAUCUACUUCCAUAAGUAGAUAUGAUUUAAUUUUCCCCUGAAUGUGUAGCCAACUGUCCCAUUUAGUGAAUAAUUCAUUCUUUCCCCACUACUUUGAAAUACCAUUAAAAACAAUCAUCUUUAGACUCUGUUUUCCCUCUGUUGACUGGCAAGUCAGCCACCAGCAUGUACAAAUUUAUAUCU